rnacentral:rRNA from 1 species
GAUGAACGCUGGCGGCGUGCUUAACACAUGCAAGUCGAACGGUGAAGCAGGAGCUUGCUCUUGUGGAUCAGUGGCGAACGGGUGAGUAACACGUGAGCAACCUGCCCCUGACUCUGGGAUAAGCGCUGGAAACGGCGUCUAAUACUGGAUAUGUGAUGUGACCGCAUGGUCUGCAUCUGGAAAGAAUUUCGGUCGGGGAUGGGCUCGCGGCCUAUCAGCUUGUUGGUGAGGUAAUGGCUCACCAAGGCGUCGACGGGUAGCCGGCCUGAGAGGGUGACCGGCCACACUGGGACUGAGACACGGCCCAGACUCCUACGGGAGGCAGCAGUGGGGAAUAUUGCACAAUGGGCGGAAGCCUGAUGCAGCAACGCCGCGUGAGGGAUGACGGCCUUCGGGUUGUAAACCUCUUUUAGCAGAGAAGAAGCGAAAGUGACGGUACCUGCAGAAAAAGCACCGGCUAACUACGUGCCAGCAGCCGCCGUAA